UAAAUGUUUGAUUUUGGCUUAAAUUUUUAUGUUAUUAUUAAAAUUGUAUGAAAAUUAAAGUGUGAAAAGAAAAAUUUAAUUAAAUAUUAAAUUAAUAUUAUAAGGGAAAGUAAUUAUAAGCCUUUAUUAUCUCAGCAUAACAUAUUAUAAAAAAUAUAUUAAAAUAUGAUAUAGUAAUAAUAUUAAGCCUGAUAUAUAUUUGUGCCAGCAUUCGCGGUUAUACUUUAAGGUUAAGUAAAAAUUUUUAGGUUUAGUUAGAUGUUUAAAGAUUUAAAUAUAAAAUAUUUAUAAUAAAAGGUAAAAUUAAAAUAUUAUUUUGUAUAAAAAAAAAUUAUAAUUGAAGCUAAAAAAAAUUAGUAAUAAACUAGGAUUAGAGACCCUACUAUUCUAAAUUAAAUUAUUACACCCUAAAUUAGUAAAAGAUAAAUACUUAAAAUUUAAAAAAUUUGGCGGCAGUUUAAUUUUUCAGAGGAACCUGUUUUAGAAUCGAUAAACCACGAAAAAUCUUACUUGUCUUAGUUAAUUCAGUUUGUAUACCAUCAUUAUUAGAUAAUUCUUAAAAGAAAAAAUUAUUAAAUUUAAUUAAUUAGUAAAAUUAGAUCAUGGUGCAGUUAAUGGACAAGAUAAAAUGGGUUACAAUAAAUUACUUUAUUGCGAAAUAACAAAAGAAAUAAUUGUUAUGAAGAAGGAUUUGAUUGUAUUCUUAGUUUAAUAAGCUAAUGAGAUAUAAAUUCUAAAUUGUGUACAUAUCGCCCGUCGCUUUCAUUUAUAAGUGAAAUAAAUUUUUAAAUUGUCAGUAAAUUUUAAUAAAAUCUAAU
rnacentral:ncRNA from 1 species